UGGAUUUUCUUGCUGAUGAGAUUUUGGAUUUUGGUUCAGAGAGGACCUCAUCGUCUUCUGAGUCCGAAGUGAUGGCUUCGUCAAACACUACUCCACGGGCGUGGGCCUUUGGUUGCGCUUUGACAGCUUUCAUCUGUGCUGGAUUGACCCAAACGGACCCGUCACAAAGUCUGUCACCACCCAGUCACCAUGGCGCCCAACUUGGCCGAGACCCGACGGCGGCAGGGAGCACCUUGUCACCGUGGGGAACAGAAACAGCAGCAGGGGGAGAAUUCCCAUGUUGCUGGAGGUGAUGCUGCAGACAAGCCACCAAUCACAGACGGACAAAGACGGAUCCUCCUGGCUGCCUUACAGGACAUCAGUCAAACCCAGCUUUGUUAGCGCCGCAUUCCUCUGCAUUCACUUCAUCAACCAGUCCUGCUCGGGCUCCUCCGUCAAGCAGCGCUCGUGACACCUUGAAUUUUUUCUCUGCGCGCUUUUGAUACUGAAAAUGGCUCAUGAGGUGAUUGUUGACUGCUUGAAUGAUGCUUCUUGUGUUUUUGGUGGCGGCCACCUUUGUGCGGGUCCUGUCAUGUUAUCACAGCGUUUUAAUUAAAAAGAAGGGGACGUACAGACAGACAGGGACACAAUGACGGAUCCCCAGGCUGCUUUACAGGACGCUGCUCAAACAAAGCUCCGGCGGAGCUGCGUGACUUCGCUUUGUCUGUCUGACGACAAUUCUCUGACUCCAACGAUUCUAACUAUGCCUCUGUCGUUGAGACGCACGACACUGUGAGGUGUCAGACACGUAAUUGACGAAAACACUUUUUUUCUACCUGUCACUGUCCUCCAACACACAUGACUUAACAUUUUGCUCUCGAGGCCUUUGCGCACAUUGUUAGAGAUGCACAGGAACAAGGUGUAAAAGUUUCCUCCCCUCCACUAAGCUGUCAGAGGAGAAACACACAGGCAAGAACAAGAUGACAAACUUUCUAAGCUGUUGUUUUUGGUGGCAGACAGGCUGCGUGUGUGUGUGUGUGUGUGUGCGUCUCAGCUGAGAUGGGAAUGUCAGCACAGGACCAGCCCCCUGCUGCUGGACACCAGUCGGGGGUCCGCCUCCCGUGGGACGCGCCCGAUAAGCGCUGUGAAUGUGUGUGUGCUGUGUGUGUGUGACCCAUGCGUGUGCAUCAUAAAUAUGUGCGCGCCUACGUGAGCGCCGGGGGCCGGCGUCUGGGCCGCCUCGGACGGGGGAAGGGAGGUGAGCGCGGUGACAGCCUCAGCUGUGUUGAAUUGUGGGAGAAAAAGAGCUGACGCGACGGGAGCUGAUGUCUGACAUGACCCCUCUCAGCGGGCGCGCGGCGGGGAGCUGGGAGCGGGAGCCGCCGCUGGCCGAGCGCGGCUGUGUGCGCGCGUGUGUGUGUGUGUGUGUGUGUGCGCGCGCGAGGUGGGAAAGUGAAGGGGAAGGACGGUGAGAGGCAAGAACGCGGCGGGGCUUUUUCUUUGGCCGCAUCGCAGCGACGUUGAUAGCGGAGUCUGUGAAACGGCGCCUUGAUGGACGUGACGCCGCACUUUUCCUGCUGUAAACCAAUCCCCUCCACGCCUUGCCGGCCAUUUUCCCUGCCUCCAUAUCAUAUACCUCUCCUUGACCUUCUCGCUCUUUGUUGGUGUCCCUGUGCUCCCUCAUUCCUGCUUUUUCUUCCCGGCUCCGUCCCUCCUGACGGUGCAUUCAGGCCGGUAAAGUGAUCUUGGGGGCGCGGAGCUCGUUGGCCUUCAUUAUUCCCCAAUCACUCCUGCCAUCUUUUGCUCUUUACACUUUCUCGUCUCAUCUCUGUUUGCAUCAUUCCCGAAUUCUUUCAUUCCUCAUCCUUCUACACACACACACACACACACACACACACACACACACACACACACACACACACACACACACACACACACACACACACACCUUCACCCUCUCUUUUCACUGUCUCUCCUUUCUGGGUCUGUUGCUUUGCCAUCAGUCUCUGAUAAGUGCCCACAAAGCCCCCACUGUCUAAUGUGACCCUUUAUUCUUCCCCCAUCCUCUCUCUCUCUCUUUCUCCCUCUCUCUCUCUCUCUCUGUCUCCUUUUUUCCUCCAUCCUGGAGCAGCCAAGCGUGAGGUAAAGAGUGGGGGCCGUUUGUCUUAUACACACACCCAAACUUGUUUUACCUUCAUCCCCUGUUCCCUUCACUUUUCUCUCCUCAUCAUCCUUUCCCAUACUCUGUUUUUAACUUGUCCAACUUUCUUUUGUUCCUCAUCCUCGUCCUGUCUCUCUGUCCUCUAACUUUUCUCGGCCUGCAGGGAAACCUUGCCCUGCUUCUCUCAGGAUGCUGGUGUUUCUCAAAUGGGACCGGGGCUCAGAUCUAACACAUUUAUCCAGAAUAAAAUGUUAGUCUGAGACAUCUAGCCUCUCUCUAACUCUCAUCUAGUCCUGUCAAUCAGCAGCCCAGUCAGUCAGUCAGUCUGCACUGCCAACCAUCACUCUGAGCAGGACUAAUGGGUCUUGUUAGCCACUUAACUGCCUGCUUUGCUCCCUCUCGGAGUAUGAAUGGAAUAACCCUAAUGGUGCUUGUUUGCCACUCCACUGCUUUCCCUUAUCCUCCUAUGGCUUUAUCAUUGCUGAUCAGUGUACCUGGAGAUAAGUCCCUGUGUGAGCAGGCAGUAUCCUCUUCCUUGAGCUUUUAUCAGAGCUGAUCAGUGUACCCAGACUUCUCUGUUAGAGACCCCGCCUGAGAAGGUCGUGUUUUCAUUCCCCCCAAUCGGCUCGCUGACCGAUAAGACAAUUUGUCAGGUGGAAAUCAGAGAGGCCUUUUCUUGGUUGUCUAUGGAAGGCAGAUGGAGGAGGGAGAUUGAGAGGUGGAAAGAAUGAAGGAACAAAGUAACACGAGGAAAAAUGAUGUGUUUUAUCAUCGCUAAGAGGAAAGAUGGAUGUCCGUGGGUUUCCUAUAUUUCAGGCAGAUGUCGUUCAUUAUUUGGCUCAGCGUGAUGGUGAAGAACUGGUUGUAAUAGUCACCCACUACACCAACAGUCACUGUGGGAACGACAGCAAACAGCCACGUAAUGGAAAAUCAAAGAGGAGCAUGUCGUUGGCACCACGUUAUUUUGACUUCAAACUGGAGCAUUUUCUGUUGGAAAAGUAAAACCUGGCUUUUGCUAAACUAAAAAUCUGAAGCAUAAUCUGAAUGUCUGACCAAGUAAAUUGCUGUACAUAAACUGAGGUAGCAGUGACUUCCAUCAGUCUGUUUUGCUCAACUUUUUCCUUUUUGCCACUUCAGUCUACAAGCAGCAUGGUUCUAUUUCUUUACCCUCACAAUGCUCUAAUAAAAGUCUUUAAAAACUUUAAUAUGAGAUAAACGUAAAUGUAUUGAUGAAUGAUUGUACAAACUACUGAGCUGUUCUCUGUGUUUCCAAAAUGAAACGCAACAAAUAUUGCAUGUGGCACGAGUGCUAACUUUUCCAGUGGACCUUCUCAUCAGUAUUCACUCCCUCUCUUUCAGGCUUCCCACUCUGGCCCUCUCUAAUCUGAUCAUCUCCUCUGCAGACUCACACAAAGCCUCCAAUAGUCCAGCCAAGGCCCCUUAAUCGACAUGUUAUUGCCCACAAUCGCAUUUACAGCGCUGAGGAAAAUCUGCACAGAUGCAAUUGUGUCGGCUGCUAAUCCAAUAAGCCCGCACUCACUUUUCUUUUGCUUGGCAUCUUUCAUCUCCAAAAACAAGGUGACAGUGUUUUAAUUUUCAUUCGAGGGUUACUCUCCAUCAGUUAAGCUCGCAGUGUGUGGUGGAGUUUAUGGAGCCAGACAUGUGUAGGUGCUGGUUAUUGUACAAGCUUUUAUUUGUCCCCUUUGGGAAAAUGAAAAGGAGGGUUUUUGGUUCAGAUGUGAUUAGAAAAGGAGCCUUGUGUUAUUUUUUAUUUACACAGGCAGUGUCUAUUGGAUCAUACUGGUAGGAUUUGCUGGGUUUGGUGCUUAGUUUGGUCAAAGGGGUCAGUGCAUAAUAGAUAAUGUUCAGGAGGCAAAAGCACAGCUAAAAGUCACAGUGACGACUGGCCUUUGGAUGCUGGGAAGAAAACUGGCUAAUAAACACAGAGAGAUGUUAAACUUAGCUUGAGCUUUAGAAAGUCAAAGCAUUACUCUUGUGAUAUAUACUUAAAAUAAUAAUAAUAAUAAUAUCGCUGAAGUAUUUUUCUACAGGAAGAUUAUUCACCAGAGUGAAGAGUUCCUGCCACUACUCUUUCCAGUAGUGGACGAUGAAGCACAUUCAACCCAAGGUCGGACUCUGAGAAACGUCAUGAAUCAAGAGCUACACCUCAGACCAUCCGGGCCCCACUGAGCCUGGUAAAUGUUAAAGUUUAUGACAGCACAAUUAGAAAAAGACCCAACAAGAAAUCCUCUGUCUAAACGGAAAACAACAAGCAACAAGACACCUAACCUGCAGUCUGUGUCAAUCAGAAACUCCUCUUUACACCAGUGUUCAGAAAAAUGAGAGGUGGUCGUAUGGACUGUUGCA